CACCGGCAGCUCAAGUGGUCGCUGUUUUUAUUGGGCCUAAAGCGUUCGUAGCCGGUUUGAUAAGUCUUUGGUGAAAGCUUAUGGCUUAACUGUAAGAAUUGCUGAAGAUACUGUCAGACUUGAAGUCGGGAGAGGUUAGAGGUACUACCGGGGUAGGGGUGAAAUCCUAUAAUCCUGGGAGGACCACCUGUGGCGAAGGCGUCUAACUGGAACGAUCUUGACGGUGAGUAACGAAAGCCAGGGGC
rnacentral:rRNA from 1 species